rnacentral:piRNA from 1 species
UGGAAAUUUCAGUGUUUCAUGGACCU